UGGAACCAGGUAGCUUAAAAUGACAGAUCUGGGAAAGAAAAGCAGUCAAGAAGCUGUAUUUGAACUUUAUUAUUUGAUUAAUUGAUGGUAUUUGUUUAUCACCUCUCAACCCACUGCUUUGUGUGCCCACCAGCCUUGAUUUGUAGGAUGAUGGAAUAUGCCACAGGACUUGUACAUAUGAGGAAAGACUCCAGGAGCUCGAAGAACGGGAUGGCACUGCCACCCCCAAUUGCCCCCUAAACGUAUCGGAGAUGCCUGCCUCCUCCUGUAGCUCUCUCUGGCACAUUUAGGAACCUGGUAUGGAAACCUGACAGCACUUCUUCCAUUUUCCUACUUUUCUCCAUGAAAAAGCAGAAAAGAAAGAAGGUAUUUAUUCUUCUUUUCAUCUGGGCUACUUCAAGAAGCACAUAAUAAAAGAACAAAGGGUGGUUGUAGUUUGCAAAGAAAAGAAAGGGGGAAGCAAAAAGUAAUUUUAAAAACAUAGACCCUACCUGG